AUAGAGGUUCUACUGUAAUAAGAU
rnacentral:siRNA from 1 species